rnacentral:rRNA from 1 species
UACGUAGGGGUCGAGCGUUGUCCGGAGUUACUGGGCGUAAAGCGUGUGCAGGCGGCUCAUUGCGCCCGGCGUGAAAGCCCCCGGCUUAACCGGGGAGGGUCGUCGGGGACGGGUGAGCUUGAGGGUCGCAGGGGCUGGUGGAAUUCCCGGUGUAGUGGUGAAAUGCGUAGAGAUCGGGAGGAACACCCGUGGCGAAGGCGGCCAGCUGGGCGACACCUGACGCUGAGACACGAAGGCGUGGGGAGCGAACGGG